rnacentral:tRNA from 1 species
GCCUGGGUGGCUCAGUCAGUUAAGCAUCCGACUUUGGCUCAGGUCAUGAUCUCAUGGUUUGUGGGUUCAAGCCCCACGCCAGGCU